rnacentral:rRNA from 1 species
CCUACGGGAGGCAGCAGUGAGGAAUAUUGGUCAAUGGACGAGAGUCUGAACCAGCCAAGUAGCGUGAAGGAUGACUGCCCUAUGGGUUGUAAACUUCUUUUAUAUGGGAAUAAAACGUUCCACGUGUGGGAUUUUGUAUGUACCAUAUGAAUAAGGAUCGGCUAACUCCGUGCCAGCAGCCGCGGUAAUACGGAGGAUCCGAGCGUUAUCCGGAUUUAUUGGGUUUAAAGGGCGCGUAGGUGGAUUGUUAAGUCAGUUGUGAAAGUUUGCGGCUCAACCGUAAAAUCGCAGUUGAAACUGGCAGUCUUGAGUACAGUAGAGGUGGGCGGAAUUCGUGGUGUAGCGGUGAAAUGCUUAGAUAUCACGAAGAACUCCGAUUGCGAAGGCAGUUCACUGGACUGCAACUGACACUGAGGCUCGAAAGUGUGGGUAUCAAACAGGAUUAGAUACCCUUGUAUC